AUUGAACGCUGGCGGCAGGCCUAACACAUGCAAGUCGAACGAGUGGCGGACGGGUGAGUAAUGUCUGGGAAACUGCCUGAUGGAGGGGGAUAACUACUGGAAACGGUAGCUAAUACUGAAUACCAUAGGAUGUGCCCCGUGGUGAUGAGCUAGUAGGUGGGGUAACGGCUCACCUAGGCGACGAUCCCUAGCUGUUCUGGUAGGAUGAACAGCCACACUGGAACUGUGACACGGUCCAGACUCCGACGGGAGGCAGCAGUGGGGAAUAUUGCACAAUGGGCGCAAGCCUGAUGCAGCCAUGCCGCGUGUAUGAAGAAGGCCUUCGGGUUGUAAAGUACUUUCAGCGGGGAGGCGUUACCCGCAGAAGAAGCACCGGCUAACUCCGUGCCAGCAGCCGCGGUAAUAC
rnacentral:rRNA from 1 species